AGAGCGAACGCUGGCGGCAGGCCUAACACAUGCAAGUCGAGCGCCCGUAGCAAUACGGGAGCGGCAGACGGGAUAGUAACACGUGGGAACGCGCCCUUCGGUUCGGAAUAACUCAGGGAAACUUGAGCUAAUACCGGAUACGCCCUUACGGGGAAAGAUUUAUUGCCGAAGGAACGGCCCGCGUCCGAUUAGCUAGUUGGUGAGGUAAUGGCUCACCAAGGCGACGAUCGGUAGCUGGUCUGAGGGGAUGACCAGCAUCACUGGGACUGAGACACGGCCCAGACUCCUACGGGAGGCAGCAGUGGGGAAUAUUGGACAAUGGGCGCAAGCCUGAUCCAGCCAUGCCGCGUGGAUGAUGAAGGCCUUAGGGUUGUAAAGUCCUUUUAACGGGAAGAUAAUGACGGUACCCGUAGAAUAAGCCCGGCUAACUUCGUGCCAGCAGCCGC
rnacentral:rRNA from 1 species